rnacentral:rRNA from 1 species
CUGCGAAUGGCUCAUUAAAUCAGAUAUAGUUUGUUUGAUGGUAUCUGCUACUCGGAUAACCAUAGUAAUUCUAGAGCUAAUGCGUGCAUCAAACCCCGACUUCUGGAAGGGAUGCAUUUAUUAGAUAAAAGGUCGACGCGGGCUCUGCCCGUUGCUGCGAUGAUUCAUGAUAACUCGACGGAUCGCACGGCCCUCGUGCCGGCGACGCAUCAUUCAAAUUUCUGCCCUAUCAACUUUCGAUGGUAGGAUAGUGGCCUACUAUGGUGGUGACGGGUGACGGAGAAUUAGGGUUCGAUUCCGGAGAGGGAGCCUGAGAAACGGCUACCACAUCCAAGGAAGGCAGCGGGCGCGCAAAUUACCCAAAGGGGACACGGGGAGGUAGUACAAUAAAUNCCCCUUUUAGGGGUUCGAGUCUGGUAAUUGGAAUGAGUACAAUCUAAAUC